AACGCGAAGAACCUUACCAGGUCUUGACAUCCCUCUGAAUCUGCUAGAGAUAGCAGCGGCCUUCGGGACAGAGGAGACAGGUGGUGCAUGGUUGUCGUCAGCUCGUGUCGUGAGAUGUUGGGUUAAGUCCCGCAACGAGCGCAACCCUUGAAUUCAGUUGCCAGCACAUCAUGGUGGGCACUCUGAAUUGACUGCCGGUGACAAACCGGAGGAAGGCGGGGAUGACGUCAAAUCAUCAUGCCCCUUAUGACCUGGGCUACACACGUACUACAAUGGCCGGUACAACGGGCCGCGAAACCGCGAGGUGGAGCCAAUCCUAAAAAGCCGGUCUCAGUUCGGAUUGCAGGCUGCAACUCGCCUGCAUGAAGUCGGAAUUGCUAGUAAUCGCGGAUCAGCAUGCCGCGGUGAAUACGUUCCCGGGCCUUGUA
rnacentral:rRNA from 1 species